AGUGAACGCUGGCGGCAUGCUUUACACAUGCAAGUCGAACGGUAACAGGCUUUCGGCUGCUGACGAGUGGCGGACGGGGGCGUAAGGCAUCGGAACGCGCCCGGAGGUGGGGUAUAACGGGGGGUAAGCUGUGCUAACACCGCAUGAGACCUGAGGCUGAAUGCGGGGGACAAGACGGCAACGUUUGGCCUCGCGCCUUUGGAUGGGCCGAUGUCGGAUUAGGUAGUUGGUGGGGUAAAGGCCUACCAAGCCGACGAUCCGUAGCUGGUCUGAGAGGACGACCAGCCACACUGGGACUGAGACACGGCCCAGACUCCUACGGGAGGCAGCAGUGGGGAAUAUUGGACAAUGGGCGCAAGCCUGAUCCAGCAAUACCGCGUGCGGGAAGAAGGCCUUCGGGUUGUAAACCGCUUUUGUACGGAACGAAAAGGAUCUGGUUAAUACCCCGGUGUGAUGACGGUACCGUAAGAAUAAGCACCGGCUAACUUCGUG
rnacentral:rRNA from 1 species